ACCCUUAGCUGCACGUGUCCUCAGAAGCGGUUCACUAUAACCCCAGUGGCCCUGGCUUCAGGGAUGGGAAUCGGGGAGGGGCCAGUCCUGGAGCAGAGCCUGGCCUGGAGCCCAGGUGGCGCUGAGUUCGCUCUGCUCCUGACGCCAGUCCCUGGACCCUGCGGUGUGUGUUCCCAGGGCGGGCAGGAAGGCUCUUAGAGGCUGCGCAGGUAGUCAGAUGGCCUGUGAAGGUGGAGAAGGCCUUGCUGUCCCUCCUGGGACCGGGAGUCUCAACUUGCAGUCCAGAGGACAUGGGACUCAAAUCGGACUCGGCCACCGCCUCCUGGCCUGAGGCUGGCGGAUCAGACGCUGCUGCCACCCGCCUUUGGGCUCGAGCAGGUCAUUUUCCACAUGGCCACUGGGUGUCGCCCUCGCUCCACGAGUGGGCCGCCCUCGCCUCUGUCCCCGGCUCCUUGAGCGCCUACUGUGUGCUGGCCUGUCCCGCGCGGGGAGGUGGCCCCUUGGCCAGGCUCUGUUCUGAAGGCAGAUGGGCCUGACUCAGCCAGAGAUGGUGCUGUUGCUCCCUGUAAACGCAAGCUGUUUGCAGACAACAGCAGGAUGUAUCCCGACUGUGUAAGAGCAUGCUUUUCUGUGGAUGGUAUGGUUUGGCUCUGUGUCCCCACCCAAAUCUCGUGUUGAAUUGUAAUCCCUAUGUGUCAGGGGACGGACCUGGUGGGAAGUGAUUGGAUCAGGGGGGCGGUUCCCCCCUGCUGUUUGUUCUCGUGAUAGUGAGUUCUCACGAGAUCUGAUGGUUUAAAAGUGUUUGGCAGUUCCCCCCUCUCUCCCUCUCACCUGCGACCAUGUGAGGUGUGCCUGCUUCCCUUUCGCCUUCCACCAUGAUUGAUCCCAGCCAUGUUGCCCUCAGUAGCCCUCCCUCCUUGGACUGUGACAGUUUCUCCAUCUUCUUUUGUUUACAUGACCUUGAUCGCUUUGAGGAGUACAGGUAUGACCUCAUCACUCCACCAGCAAGAAGUAGAGUCUGAUUCCUUUCUUGAAUCUGGACUGAUCUCAGUGACUCAUUUGUCAUCAUAGACUGAGGCAGACAUGACACUGCAUGACUUCAGAGGGUAUGUCAGAAGAAGACUUGCAUUCUAUGCUUUCAUCUCUUCUCACUGUCUGGUUGUUUCCUCUCAGAACAUGUCCUGUAGGAACCCAGCCAUCAGGCUGUGAGAAGCCCAUGACCCAUGGGCAGGCCAUGGGUAGGUGCUCCAGUUGAUAGUCUCAGCAGAGCUCAGCUUUUGCAUUAUCCAGCUCUAAGGACCAGACAUAUUAAUGAAGGAGAGUCCAGAUGAUUCCAGCUACUUAGCAUUCAAGUCACCGCCUAGUCAGUCCAGUCCUCCUAGCUGAGAUGCAACUAUCAUGGAGCAGAAAGAAGAUACCCCUACUCUGCUUGACCUUCAGAAUUCAUGAGCAUAAUAAAACAGUUGCUGUUUUAUGUCACUAAAUUUGAGGUGUUUAUUAUGCAGUAACAGAUAAAUAGAGCACAGACCUUGGGCAAUUUAUUUAAUUCUUCUGUGCCUUAGUUCAUUCUGUAAAAUGGGGAUGUAAUUGUACUUACCUUAAAGGGUUGUCAUUAAAAUUAAAUGAGCAAAUGCAUGUACAGCACUUAGAAUAGUUCUUGAGACAUAGCAAGGACUCAGUAAUUGCUGUUAAAUAGAGAACAGUUAGGAGCUAAAGGAAUUAAGAGGAGGAGGAGCUGAUAUAGUUGAAUCUGUCACCAAGGAGACCUAACUUGGGCUGAGUCCCAAAGGGUGAGUAUUUUCAAUAUGCAGAGGUUGUCAAGGAGAUUGGAAGGCUAUGUGCUUAAGCACAUGAACCCCAAAGUAGGACUGGCAUAUCGGUGGGACAGAACAAGGACCAGCAUGAGUGGUGCAUGUGUUGGGGAGGUGUGAGGGAAACUGAAGUGGUCGGGACCCUACUACAGAAGGCAUCAAAGGCCGAACAAAAGCCUCUGAGUUUUCUGUAGCAGAUAACAUGGAUCAAAUUUCUCUUGUGGGAUGUUAUUCUUCCAAGUAAAUUAUCAUUGUAAUGAUGGUCUCUACUCAUAUUCAUCAGACUGUUCUCUAAAUCUGUUGAAGCCCGUGGGUUCUAAUUAAAAUG
rnacentral:lncRNA from 1 species